rfam:Sphingobium sp. SYK-6 DNA, complete genome.
AAUGCGGGCCGGGCCCCUCUGGCGAUCGUUUCGGCGGUCGUGAUGUCGGACCGCAUCG